AUUGAACGCUGGCGGCAGGCCUAACACAUGUAAGUCGAACGAGUGGCGGACGGGUGAGUAAUGUCUGGGAAACUGCCUGAUGGAGGGGGAUAACUACUGGAAACGGUAGCUAAUACCGCAUACCAUCGGAUGUGCCCAGAUGGGAUUAGCUAGUAGGUGGGGUAACGGCUCACCAAGGCGACGAUCCCUAGCUGGUCUGAGAGGAUGACCAGCCACACUGGAACUGAGACACGGUCCAGACUCCUACGGGAGGCAGCAGUGGGGAAUAUUGCACAAUGGGCGCAAGCCUGAUGCAGCCAUGCCGCGUGUAUGAAGAAGGCCUUCGGGUUGUAAAGUACUUUCGUCGGGGAGGCGUUACCUAAAGAAGAAGCACCGGCUAACUACGUGCCAGCAGCCGCGGUAAUUC
rnacentral:rRNA from 1 species